CUAAAGUAUUUCCUGCUUUAGUUAAAUAAUUGUGUACACAGUUGUUUCUACAAAUUCACUACAUUCGUCACAUGAGGUAUUACGCGUAUUUAUUCAUUGCUUAAUUUGAUAACUAUGAAAUUUGAUUCGUUCUCAACAAGACACUAAUGCAAGUCGCCUUCAAUGGACGGCCUGAGCAUGGUAUCCGACGAGAGUGAAUACAACUUAGAUGAGGACAAAUUUAAAGAGAUAGAAGAAGACAAUGCCGAUAGCCAGCAAGAUAAAUACAUUCCUACAUUUCACUACGAUAACGCUUUUAUCCAAUUCCAGGAAGCUCAAACUUCUAUACAUUUUAAAGGAUGUCAAGAAUCGGACUCUUUACUUGAAGGUACACGCUUGACAGUUUCUCUUCGUAAAUCGUGUAGAAAAUGCUGCUGCAUAAAGAGUUGUGUUAUUUUAUGACUAAACAAACAUUUUGAUAGUUUAUUUUUACAUCAUUGUUUCAUUUUAAUACUUCAAGUUUAAUAUAAUAAAUCAUAUAAUUUUAAAAGCAAUUUUUCAUUAGCAACUUUUGUGUAAAUAUUAAAUUUCAUUUGUAAGA